UACGUAGGGGGCGAGCGUUGUCCGGAUUUAUUGGGCGUAAAGAGCUCGUAGGCGGUUUGGUAAGUCGGGUGUGAAAUCUCCACGCUCAACGUGGAGGGGCCACUCGAUACUGCCAUGACUCGAGUCCGGUAGAGGAGUGUGGAAUUCCCGGUGUAGCGGUGAAAUGCGCAGAUAUCGGGAGGAACACCCGUAGCGAAAGCGGCUCUCUGGAACGGUACUGACGCUGAGACGCGAAAGCGUGGGGAGCGAACAGG
rnacentral:rRNA from 1 species